AUCCCCUGUGUAUUUAUACCUGUGUUUGCCAAAUCAACCAGCAGUUUUCUCCUAGCUCCUGGUUUUCCCCAAUCUCUCUUUUUUCUCGUCCUCCUGGUUCUGACCCUUGCCUGUCCUGACUCUGAGCCCUCCUGCCUGCCACCCUGUACUGUUUUGGACUCUGACCUGGUUAUGAACUCUUACCUGUCCCCAACCUGCCUUUUGCCAACCCCUUGGAGUAUAAUAAAUAUCAGAGCUCAAACCAUCUGCUUCCCGUGUCUGCAUCUGGGUCUGGCCUUGUGUCGUUAUAGAUCAGUUUUAUUAUGACAUGAAAAGGUGAGGGCGUUCAACACUAACUCGAAUCAAAAGUAUAGCUGUUGAACAGAGAGCCUUUCAUCAGGCGGCCUGUACUGCUGGCCUUACCUGCUUUUUGGAAAGUCUGAGCCUUGGUUGAAAGCUAAGUCCCCUCCACUACCAUUGUCAACUUUCUUUUGGCAUGAACUGAAGCCAAGUCUCAUGUGCCUGCUCAUCCACUGGCACAUUGAAUGUUUCCCCUCCAAGCACUUCAAAUCCUGUCCUGCAUUGGUCAAGCCUCUGAACACCUCAACUCAUGCCUCAUACCGUCAUUCAAUCACUGCUGUGAUCCCUUUCCAAAAUGGUGUAAGACGACCUCUCAUUCCUAUUCCCCAUAAUAUUGUAUUUUAAAUGUCUUUAUUAAAUGCUUUAGUUUAAAAGAAUUAGUCUUUGACUAUUUUUGAAAUACACUUUGUCAUCUCUGUGCAUUCCGCCCCUAUACUGUGGGUCUCCCAUCCUCCUAAAUGGUUCUAGUCACCAGCCUCCACUGAUUACAGGGAAGCCUACUCUGCUGACA